AGCAUAUUUAGUGAGUUCACAGAACUCCUCCUUUUGCAGGUCUUAUGAAACAAAACUAGAAGACACCACUAAUACGUUAGUUGCUGUAAAUACUUGGCAAGGCAGGGAUAGGUGUGAAGGGUUCAUCUACUUCCUGAAAAGAGGAAAAGACAAAUAUGAAGUGCCGGGAAGAGAAGAGCUUGGGAGAGUAAGUGGCUUUGUUUAGAUAAGAUGUGCCUUAUGCUUCAGGCUCCUGGGACACAUCUUGCUACAGGCAGCUCCAUGAUGGAAGAAACCCGGAGUAUGUGCCAUUCUCCUGUGAAACUGUGUUUCUUCCUGGAAGAAAAACUGGAUGUGAGUUUAUAGUGUGCUUCCAGAAAAGGGUCCCAUGAGAAAAGGACUGUGCUACUGUAAUCACUGGUGAAUAAGGAUAGCCGAAAGAGAUGGAGGGUAGGGAAUAAUAUACUAAUCCUUAUCCAGAAGAGGUUGUCUUCCUUCAUCUGCACCAAGAUUCUUGAGAUUCUAUUCUCAUUUGAACCAUUGGUCCUGAGAGAAGAGUAAAUUUUGCCUGGGUUGAGCAGGAGACUUUGAUAUCUGAAAGGAGAGUGGGCAGGAUGAACCUGGAGUUAAUCCCUUCUGUAUCUUCAGGCUGAAGACACAAGCCUUCUCUCUGAAGGCUCUGAGAAAGCCUGUACCCAGCUGGGAUCUGGAAAAGUAGGCGUCCCUUCAUAAAGGAGCUCAAUUCAGUCAGUAAUCUCAAAACAUGUCAUCUCUGUGAGGAAGGGGAGUGUCCCCAUACAGCAUAAUCACAGGUAUUUCAUCAUAGCUGCAUGCUUUUGGAGUGGGAGACCUGACCUCGGCUGAUGUUUCAGUUCUAAGAACUAAACCCACAUCUCCACAGAGACUGCUUGAACAUCUAGGACUACCCAGAAGCAAGUACUACUUUGCCCUUCUAUUGAAACUUUUUAAAUGUCAUUUCUAAAAGUGGACUUUCGUUGGGUCACUCAGUGAUUCAGAUUUCAUUUUCAGUCAUUCCAGACUUAAGGGGAUUAACUAGUAAUUUAAAUUGGGGGGCCAUAACUAGAGAAUAAAUGUAUCUGCCAUAUUCAUUUGCAUCUUAUUGGAUACAAUAAUUGAUAUACCUAUGUCACAUUAGCCCGGUGGCCUAGAUGUGGAGGGAUUGGAACUUUUACAUUCUUUUUUGCUUUCAUAUAUAUUAAUUUCACUCCUAUUUUCCUUAAAAAGGAAUUGAGCAUUUUCUUUCACUCCAAUCUGUUUCUACACUACCUGAAAUUAUCUGCAAACUGAGAUAUAAUAUCAGAAUAAAGCAGGCAUCUACAUGACUGAAUAACAGGUUAUUAAAUUUGUUGGAAGACAAUAGGUAUUUAAAUUAAGUGGACAUCAAAACUCUCUCUAUAUAAAUGUUUAGCAUGAAGACUUUGACAUCUAACAAGAUGAGACAAGCAAGAAUUCAUCAGCAGAGCGUGACUCUAAUUGGACUGGCUCAGCAAGAAACACAAUGAAAACUGACUUUUCAACCUAAGUUUGUUUUUAAGGGAAUGAAAUUUAUCAAGAAAGCUAGAAGAAGUCUCAUUCUACUGUUUUCCACCAUAUCAUCAAGGAACCCUUUCUGGACGUGAAGGAGCAGAACAGCAGAUUAUCUCCUGCUUCUGCUGUCGGAGUGAGCGAGUGCUGAACGCUGUGACCUUUGCCAGAGCAGUACACAAAGCUGACCCAGAAGUCUGCAGAAAAAUAUAAGUAAUGAAAGUGUUUGUUUCUGCGUCUUUUUGGGUAAGCAGUAAGUUCACUUUGUCUGACAGAAUUGAAGCAAUUUGCAGACGAAAAUAGCAAUGAGAUAUGAAAAAAGUUCAAAAUUAGUGCUUGCUGCUGGGCCCAUUUGAAGAUACUUAGACUUUGGAAGCUGGGCUGAAUUUCCACAGUGUGCUCCGUUUUUCUGACUGGACAUAGCUACCUACUUAGCUUGUGCUUGUAUUGGGGGUGGUUUUCAAUUUAUUUCAUAUUGAAAAGCAGAGGUAGAUUACAACUGAAAGUCUGGGCCUUGUCAUGUAAACACAUCCUUUUUGUUCAUGCUCUUUUUGUGUUCCUAUUCAGACAUUAUAAGAGAUUCUUUUAGUAAUGGUUCCUAUUCCAGAAUACUGAUGGUGUGGAAAAUAGAAGGUAUGUUUGUCUCAGUUUUGCUUCCCUUGUUGGUUUCAAAUAUUUGAAUAUUUGCUGUUAUUAGAAAGUCAGGUUACCAAUAUUUGUCAUACUGUGUUACCUAUAAUCUUAUUUGUUUCAUGAGUAGAAGAAAUAGAUAUUUGAGGUGGUUAUUGUAUUUUGUGAUCCUUAUCAUGCUUUUAUAGAAGUGUAACUCACUUGACUUCAGUUAGGAUACUUCCGAUGUAUUUCAUGGAAAAAGGAGGGGGAGAAAGA